rnacentral:rRNA from 1 species
AUUGAACGCUAGCGGGAUGCUUUACACAUGCAAGUCGAACGAGUGGCGGACGGGUGAGUAAUAUAUCGGAACGUGCCCAGUAGCGGGGGAUAACUACUCGAAAGAGUGGCUAAUAGCGCAUACUAUUGGAGAGGCCGAUAUCGGCUUAGCUAGUUGGUGGGGUAACGGCUCAACAAGGCAACGAUCCGUCGCUGGUUUGAUAGGACGACCAGCCAAACUGGGACUGAGACACGGCCCAGAAUCCGACGGGAGGCAGCAGUGGGGAAUUUUGGACAAUGGGGGAAACCCUGAGCCAGCCAUCCCGCGUGUAUGAGAAGGCCUUCGGGUUGUAAAGUACUUUUGGCAGAGAAGCGGUAUCGGCAGAAUAAGCACCGGCUAACUACGGGCCAGCAGCCGCGGUAAUUC